UUAGAACAAACAAAUAAUAAAGUAGAUGCAGAAGUGGCUGGUACUGGUACAGAUGGCAUAGUCUCUGGCAUUGGCAGGAAGUUGAAACAAGCACUUGGAGAUAAAUGUCGCAUAACAGCACCUGAUCCUAAUGGUAGCAUCUUAUCACUGCCUGAAAGCUUAAUGAAACAGAUAUACAGAUGGCAUUGAUUUUUAUUUUGUGACAAAAGUGUUGGGGUUCCUAACUAUUCGCUAUAGUCUACGUCAAACUAACUGGCAGAUGGUGAUAGUACCCACAACAAGACGUUUUAAAGCUGGUACUACAAAUUUAUUUGACACUCCAUACCUAUACCAAUACCGGUUCGUUAACUCUAUUAAAUUUCGAUGUUGGUCAUUUAUUUUCUAAUUAUAUUAUAUUAUUAUGAGAAUUUAUUUUUUUUUCACAGUGUUAAACAACUCUGUAAAUGUUUGUGUAAAUCAAAAUACUAGGAGAGUUUUUGACUUAAAAAUAUUGUAACUUGAUAUAAAACUGUUUUUUUUCCAGUUAAAUUAUGUUACGCGGGAGUGAUAACGAUGUGGAUAUUAUCAACAAUUUGUUAUUGUUAUUUUUUCAUGGAGCUUGUAUAUGUUGGCUUCGGUAAUCGGAAAAAAAGUUUAGUGAAAAAUAUACCGAAAAUCUUACUCUUGUACAAUUCUACAGUUGUGCUUUGUAUUUUAGG